rnacentral:rRNA from 1 species
AGAGUUUGAUCAUGGCUCAGAUUGAACGCUGGCGGCAGGCCUAACACAUGCAAGUCGAGCGGUAGCACAGAGAGCUUGCUCUCGGGUGACGAGCGGCGGACGGGUGAGUAAUGUCUGGGAAACUGCCUGAUGGAGGGGGAUAACUACUGGAAACGGUAGCUAAUACCGCAUAACGUCGCAAGACCAAAGUGGGGGACCUUCUGGCCUCAUGCCAUCAGAUGUGCCCAGAUGGGAUUAGCUAGUAGGUGGGGUAACGGCUCACCUAGGCGACGAUCCCUAGCUGGUCUGAGAGGAUGACCAGCCACACUGGAACUGAGACACGGUCCAGACUCCUACGGGAGGCAGCAGUGGGGAAUAUUGCACAAUGGGCGCAAGCCUGAUGCAGCCAUGCCGCGUGUGUGAAGAAGGCCUUCGGGUUGUAAAGCACUUUCAGCGGGGAGGAAGGCGNNNNNNNNNCGAUUGACGUUACCCGCAGAAGAAGCACCGGCUAACUCCGUGCCAGCAGCCGCGGUAAUACGGAGGGUGCAAGCGUUAAUCGGAAUUACUGGGCGUAAAGCGCACGCAGGCGGUCUGUCAAGUCGGAUGUGAAAUCCCCGGGCUCAACCUGGGAACUGCAUUCGAAACUGGCAGGCUAGAGUCUUGUAGAGGGGGGUAGAAUUCCAGGUGUAGCGGUGAAAUGCGUAGAGAUCUGGAGGAAUACCGGUGGCGAAGGCGGCCCCCUGGACAAAGACUGACGCUCAGGUGCGAAAGCGUGGGGAGCAAACAGGAUUAGAUACCCUGGUAGUCCACGCCGUAAACGAUGUCGAUUUGGAGGUUGUGCCCUUGAGGCGUGGCUUCCGGAGCUAACGCGUUAAAUCGACCGCCUGGGGAGUACGGCCGCAAGGUUAAAACUCAAAUGAAUUGACGGGGGCCCGCACAAGCGGUGGAGCAUGUGGUUUAAUUCGAUGCAACGCGAAGAACCUUACCUGGUCUUGACAUCCACAGAACUUNUUGGUGCCUUCGGGAACUGUGAGACAGGUGCUGCAUGGCUGUCGUCAGCUCGUGUUGUGAAAUGUUGGGUUAAGUCCCGCAACGAGCGCAACCCUUAUCCUUUGUUGCCAGCGGUUAGGCCGGGAACUCAAAGGAGACUGCCAGUGAUAAACUGGAGGAAGGUGGGGAUGACGUCAAGUCAUCAUGGCCCUUACGACCAGGGCUACACACGUGCUACAAUGGCAUAUACAAAGAGAAGCGACCUCGCGAGAGCAAGCGGACCUCAUAAAGUAUGUCGUAGUCCGGAUUGGAGUCUGCAACUCGACUCCAUGAAGUCGGAAUCGCUAGUAAUCGUAGAUCAGAAUGCUACGGUGAAUACGUUCCCGGGCCUUGUACACACCGCCCGUCACACCAUGGGAGUGGGUUGCAAAAGAAGUAGGUAGCUUAACCUUCGGGAGGGCGCUUACCACUUUGUGAUUCAUGACUGGGGUGAAGUCGUAACAAGGUAACCGUAGGGGAACCUGCGGUUGGAUCACCU